rnacentral:rRNA from 1 species
CCGGCACGGGUGAGUAACGCGUAUCCAACCUGCCGUCUACUCUUGGACAGCCUUCUGAAAGGAAGAUUAAUACAAGAUGGCAUCAUGAGUCCGCAUGUUCACAUGAUUAAAGGUAUUCCGGUAGACGAUGGGGAUGCGUUCCAUUAGAUAGUAGGCGGGGUAACGGCCCACCAAGCCUUCGAUGGAUAGGGGUUCUGAGAGGAAGGUCCCCCACAUUGGAACUGAGACACGGUCCAA